GGGGGUUACCUUCUGUAAGGAGUGCCC
rnacentral:misc_RNA from 1 species